rnacentral:rRNA from 1 species
UACAGGGGGGGCAAGCGUUGUUCGGAAUUACUGGGCGUAAAGGGCUCGUAGGUGGCCAACUAAGUCAGACGUGAAAUCCCUCAGCUUAACUGGGGAACUGCGUCUGAUACUGGAUGGCUUGAGUUUGGGAGAGGGAUGCGGAAUUCCAGGUGUAGCGGUGAAAUGCGUAGAUAUCUGGAGGAACACCGGUGGCGAAGGCGGCUAUCUGGACUGUGAUUGACGCUGAGGCGCGAAAGCGUGGGGAGCAAACAGG